UAGCGGCGAGCGAACGGGGAGCAGCCCAGAGCCUGAAUCAGUGUGUGUGUUAGUGGAAGCGUCUGGAAAGGCGUGCGAUACAGGGUGACAGCCCCGUACACAAAAAUGCACAUAUUGUGAGCUCGAUGAGUAGGGCGGGACACGUGGUAUCCUGUCUGAAUAUGGGGGGACCAUCCUCCAAGGCUAAAUACUCCUGACUGACCGAUAGUGAACCAGUACCGUGAGGGAAAGGCGAAAAGAACCCCGGCGAGGGGAGUGAAAAAGAACCUGAAACCGUGUACGUACAAGCAGUGGGAGCACGCUUAGGCGUGUGACUGCGUACCUUUUGUAUAAUGGGUCAGCGACUUAUAUUCUGUAGCAAGGUUAACCGAAUAGGGGAGCCGAAGGGAAACCGAGUCUUAACUGGGCGUUAAGUUGCAGGGUAUAGACCCGAAACCCGGUGAUCUAGCCAUGGGCAGGUUGAAGGUUGGGUAACACUAACUGGAGGACCGAACCGACUAAUGUUGAAAAAUUAGCGGAUGACUUGUGGCUGGGGGUGAAAGGCCAAUCAAACCGGGAGAUAGCUGGUUCUCCCCGAAAGCUAUUUAGGUAGCGCCUCGUGAAUUCAUCUCCGGGGGUAGAGCACUGUUUCGGCAAGGGGGUCAUCCCGACUUACCAACCCGAUGCAAACUGCGAAUACCGGAGAAUGUUAUCACGGGAGACACACGGCGGGUGCUAACGUCCGUCGUGAAGAGGGAAACAACCCAGACCGCCAGCUAAGGUCCCA
rnacentral:rRNA from 1 species